rnacentral:rRNA from 1 species
CGUAGGUGGCAAGCGUUGUCCGGAUUUAUUGGGUUUAAAGGGUGCGUAGGCGGUCUUGUAAGUCAGUGGUGAAAUACGGCAGCUUAACUGUCGAGGUGCCAUUGAUACUGCAGGACUUGAGUACAGACGAGGUAGGCGGAAUUGACGGUGUAGCGGUGAAAUGCUUAGAUAUCGUCAAGAACACCGAUAGCGAAGGCAGCUUACUAGACUGUAACUGACGCUGAUGCACGAAAGUGUGGGGAUCAAACAGGAUUAGAUACCCUGGUAGUCCACACUGUAAACGAUGAUUACUCGAUGUUGGCGAUACACAGCCAGCGUCUUAGCGAAAGCGAUAAGUAAUCCACCUGGGGAUACGCCGGCAACGGUG